GACGAGUGGCGGACGGGUGAGUAAUGUCUGGGAAACUGCCUGAUGGAGGGGGAUAACUACUGGAAACGGUAGCUAAUACCGCAUAACGUCGCAAGACCAAAGAGGGGGACCUUCGGGCCUCUUGCCAUCAGAUGUGCCCAGAUGGGAUUAGCUAGUAGGUGGGGUAACGGCUCACCUAGGCGACGAUCCCUAGCUGGUCUGAGAGGAUGACCAGCCACACUGGAACUGAGACACGGUCCAGACUCAAACGGGAGGCAGCAGUGGGGAAUAUUGCACAAUGGGCGCAAGCCUGAUGCAGCCAUGCCGCGUGUAUGAAGAAGGCCUUCGGGUUGUAAAGUACUUUCAGCGGGGAGGAAGGUGUUGUGGUUAAUAACCACAGCAAUUUGACGUUACCCGCAGAAGAAGCACCGGCUAACUCCGUGCCAGCAGCCGGGGUAAUACGGAGGGUGCAAGCGUUAAUCGGGAAUUACUGGGCGUAAAGCGCACGCAGGGCGUCUGUCAAGUCGGAUGUGAAAUCCCCGGGCUCAACCUGGGAACUGCAUUCGAAACUUGGCAGGCUAGAGUCUUGUAGAGGGGGGGUAGAAUUCCAGGUGUAGCGGUGAAAUGCGUAGAGAUCUGGAGGAAUACCGG
rnacentral:rRNA from 1 species